GUCCCUUCGGGACAUCUGAUAAAAUUGGAACCAUACCGAGAAGAUUAGCAUGGCCCUUGCGCGGAAGACACGCACAAAUUGAGAAAUUGUCCAAAAAAAUUUUUU
rfam:Capsicum annuum cultivar Zunla-1 chromosome 7, whole genome shotgun sequence